rnacentral:rRNA from 1 species
CACGUAGGCGGCAUGACAAGUUAGUUGUGAAAAUCUUGGGCUUAACCUGAGACCUGCAACUGAUACUGUUAUGCUAGAGUUCAGUAGAGGGGAGCGGAAUUUCCGGAGUAGCGGUGAAAUGCGUAGAUACCGGAAGGAACACCAGUUGCGAAGGCGGCUCCCUGGACUGAAACUGACGCUGAUGUGCGAAAGCGUGGGGAGCGAACA